CUGCAAUAUAAACUCCUCCUCAGUGCAGAUUCGGUGCAAUCCCUACAGGUCUUCAAAAGAUACAGAAAAGAAGAUACUGAAAGAGAAAUGUUUCUUCAGCACGUGUUCCUACUGAUGGCCUUGGUGCUCCAGCAAUCCUCAGGACAGAUAGACCAAAUUCUAAGUAAAAUCUCUGAAGUCCAGAGGAACGCCAUUGUUGACAAACACAAUGAAAUCAGGAGACAGGUGCAACCAACUGCUAGCAAUAUGAUG